rnacentral:rRNA from 1 species
AUUGAACGCUGGCGGCAUGCUUUACACAUGCAAGUCGAACGGCAGCGCGGGCUUCGGCCUGGCGGCGAGUGGCGAACGGGUGAGUAAUACAUCGGAACGUGCCCAGUAGUGGGGGAUAGCUCGGCGAAAGCCGGAUUAAUACCGCAUACGACCUGAGGGUGAAAGCGGGGGAUCUUCGGACCUCGCGCUAUUGGAGCGGUCGAUGGCAGAUUAGCUAGUUGGUGGGGUAAAGGCCUACCAAGGCGACGAUCUGUAGCUGGUCUGAGAGGACGACCAGCCACACUGGGACUGAGACACGGCCCAGACUCCUACGGGAGGCAGCAGUGGGGAAUUUUGGACAAUGGGCGAAAGCCUGAUCCAGCAAUGCCGCGUGUGUGAUGAAGGCCUUCGGGUUGUAAAGCACUUUUGGCGGGAACGAAAAGGACUGUGCCAAUACCACGGUUCGAUGACGGUACCAGCAGGAUAAGCACCGGCUAACUACGUG